rnacentral:rRNA from 1 species
ACUCCUACGGGAGGCAGCAGUGGGGAAUAUUGCGCAAUGGNCGAAAGNCUGACGCAGCAACGCCGCGUGGGUGAUGAAGGUCUUAGGAUUGUAAAGCCCUGUCUUCAAGGACGAUAAUGACGGUACUCGAGGAGGAAGCCNCGGCUAACUAC